UUUUUCACGUGGGGUAGUAUUCAUGAUUCAUAUUAAUAUUUGAAUAUGUAUGGUUAUCAGGUAUUGUGGAUUCAUGGCUUCCAAUAAACGCAAGCGUCUAUUGUUAAUUACCCCUACAAAGUGUUAGGGCACCUUCGAUUAAGAGACCUCUGUAAUGCUGAACUUGAAUAAAAGAUGAAUUUUAUAAUAUAAUUCAGUAUAUAAUUACAUAGCUUAACCAGGGACAUGCCCCCAGUGUAUAAUAAAAGAGAAAAUGGUUAAUUCAACGACAUGAGUAUGACGGUUGAUUGAAUUUGAUUCUGAACAAUAUUGUUCACCCUAAGGUGAAAGGUUGGUUAAAUUCCCUGUAUAUACAUUGGGAUUUAAUCAGAUUCAAAUUAAACUCUAACUAAAUG
rnacentral:lncRNA from 1 species